AUACGGAGGGUGCAAGCGUUAUUCGGAAUCACUGGGCGUAAAGGACGCGUAGGCGGGUUGGCAAGUCAGAUGUGAAAUCCUACAGCUUAACUGUAGAACUGCAUUUGAAACUGCUAACCUAGAGUAUGGGAGGGGGAGAUGGAAUUAGUGGUGUAGGGGUAAAAUCCGUAGAUAUCACUAGGAAUACCGAAAGCGAAGGCGAUCUCCUGGAACAUAACUGACGCUCAGGCGUGAAAGCGUGGGGAGCAAACAGGAUUAGAAACCCUAGUAGUCC
rnacentral:rRNA from 1 species